UUUGUCACUGUGCCCGUAUCCAAGGUCAAUCACAUGAUGAACCUUUAAAGUGAAGUCUGAUCUACAUUCAUGUUUCAGGGAUUCUGAUGCUAUCAAAAGCCAGUGGAAUAUUUUAAUGAUCCUGAGAACUCACCGGUCCCUCUCAGUAAUACUUGGAAGUUUUCAAAGCUCGCACUCUCUGUCUAGCUGGCCUUCCUUAAGAAGCUGGUAAGCCUCUUUAGACAAACAGAGCCGCCAAGAGAACAAAUGCAAUUCACUGACAAGUUGUUUGUCUAGUUAACACCUGAGACCUUGCUGAAUUUAUUUACUAGUCCUAGAAGUUUUUCUUUUUUUCUUUUUAAGAUCCUG